CCCGUGGCCACUUCCUGGGCAGCUCCUGGAAGGGAAGUCAUGCCCACGCUGCCCCACCCACUCCAGGUUGGAGCCUGGCCCCCAGUCAGCCCCUUGGCAGCUCCCUAGGGUGGGUGAGGUCAGUCACCAGUGCUUCCCUGGGCAGCAGGGGCACAGCUCGCCGGUGGGACUGUGAGGCCCACACUGCCUUUCCAGCCAGCUUGGUGGGUGCCUGGCCAGCCUGCGCCCAGAGUACGGGGUGCAUAGGGGGUUAGACCAAGCCUGCCCUCUCCCUUGGGGGUUUGCAAAGUACGUUAAUUGUGGCGACAUGGUAAGGGCGUUUGGCCAUCUCUGCCGGGGCCAGGGGCACUGGGGUGUGCCCCCAGGAGCAAGGGGCAGCCCUACAGCAGGAUUUUCUGCAUACAGCGCCUGGCUCUGGCCAAACGAGGGUCUCGCUGGCAGAGGGCCCGUCUCUAGAGCACCCAUGGGGCAGCGUGGGUCGUGCAAGGUAGGCAGAGCUCGCUGUUACCAGGUCAGAGCCCUCUGGCCCUGAAAUGUGCUUUUAUAAACAGCAUGGAACCCUUCCCGAGGCAGCAGCCUGGUCUCUUGCAGCCCCCAAGGCUCGCCCCCCUCCGGCCCCUGGCUGCUCUCCUCUGGGCAGGGGCCCAGCCCGGAGCUCAGCUCUACCUGCUGGGAGCAGCCUGUUCCUGUGAGCAGGCCAGAAGAGUGCAGGGAGCCCUGCGCUCCAGAGACACGUUCUAGCCCCCGCGGCCUCUCCAUGCCUGUGCUGCCCCCACCCAGGCUCCACCCAACGCAGAAUCACUGCGGGGCAGCCACCAGGGGCUGGCAGAGGGAGCCCUGGUGGAGCACGUGCAGCACACUGGAGACCUGGGUGACGAUGAGGUGGAUCCCAGCAAGGCCUCCAGCCCUGUCCCUGCACCCCAGUUGCUGUGCAGCUCAGGUCAACAUCACCCCUCUCUGCACCUCAGUUUCCCUGGCUGCAGCCUGGGGGUGAGAACCCCUUUCAGUGGCCACCAGGGCAGUAGGUGCAAGGAGUAGUGAUGGUCCAGGCAUUAGAGCUUGUGCCCUUGGGGGGCAGAUGCCCCAGGGCACCUAGGAGCCCCAGCCCAGCAGAUCCGGGCUGUGGAGCUGCUCCUGCCCCCACCCCCAUCACCUUGUUCCCAAGUCCGAGCCUCCCCCACCACUGCUGUCUGGAGAAACCUUCCCAGGCUCCUUCCCCUCCCCUGGCCCCGGCAUUCCUGCUAAAAUUAGCUGCUGUCCAUUUCCGGCAGCAUCUGACCUGCCCCAUCAGUCACUCGCUGCUUCCUGCAUUUGGGGGGCAGGGGGGUGCUCCUGGUGGUUCUGGGCUGGCUGCCAGCAGGGUAGGCCAGCCCACUGUGGUUAGUCCAGUCAGCCACAAGCCAGGACCAUGGGGUGGCUCCCAGCCCGCUGGGGUUUGGGUUGCUUUCAAAGUCCAUGGCAAGUUACACCCCCCCUCCCCAGCCUCGUGAGCCAGGGCUGCCCUUCGCUCUGCGCCCCAGCCCGCUCUGCGGUUCGUUCACUGCCUUGUAUAAAUGCCCAGGGCACGCGGGGAUGUGCUUGCUGGAGCUGGCAAGGUGCCCCCCCGGGCCGCCCCCCCUUAGCCCCUCGGCCAGCAUGAAGGAGCCACCCCAUGGCUCUCACUUCCAGGAGCUGGCACUGAUCCUGUGGCAGCCCAGAGCCACCUGCCUACGAUGGUGCAGUGCCACACGGCCCCAAGGGGCCAACCACUCAGCCUGCUGCAUGGGAACAACUGGCUGCGGGCAGUGAAGGGCUAGGGCCCAGCCCAGCCUUAGGUGGGCCGAACAGCAGGAGCUGUGCUGAGCCCGGUCCAGCCCAGAGCUCCCCAUACCAGGCCCCAGCUUCGCUGCAUGCUCCUGGGACAGCCCUCAAACAGCAUUUCGGCAGCAGCCCCCCGCCUUUGAGUGUGUGGGAGAAGAACGAGACCUUCCCCUGCCUGAGGACACAGCCCCCCUCCGUCCCAGCCCACUGUACAGAAAUAGCUCAUUCCCACCAGGGCCCAGCCCCCUCCCCCCCCACAGCCAGCUGUAACAGGACCCAGAUGUUUUCCAGAUGUGCCCUGCCGGCCCCAGGGCGAGCAGGCUGCCAAGAAUGCAAAGAGGCUUGUGUCGACCUGCACCGAGCUGAUAAACAAGGGCAGGGGGCUGGGUGCCAGGUGGGGCCCCCCCAGGAGUGAAGCCUCAGGGGGGCAGGGGUACCAGGCUGACAGCAAGGAGGAGAUGGGUUCUGCCAAGCCAGGACCCAGGAAGCAGCUUCCUGGGGAGGCUGCCGUGGAAAGGAGGGAGGUGGAAGGGAUGCCUGGAGCCUUUGUGGCAGAUCCAAAGGAGCAGAUGCGACUGCCCAGCCAGGAGGGGCUGGCGGGAGCCGGGAAAGCACUAGGACACAGACUGCUCUUUAACCAGGCAAAGAAAACCCAAACUGGCCUCGCCUGGGUAUUUCUCACCUCCCCCCCGGACUGAGAAAUACAUGGCCUGGAGCUCACCUGACAAGCUGGCCGGCAGCGAGCUCCUGGCUUUCAGGCUGACCCCUCUCCCCAGCACUUUGCCUGUGGCUGGACUGUUCCAAAUCAGCGUGUCAGGGACCAGCUCUCCCCUCAAGUUUGUACAGCACCUUGCGCGUCACAGAUGCUGUUGACACUACAGCAGCCAGGCAGCGGCUAAGAUUUGUAUAAAAAUAGUUUAUUAAAAUUUUACACAUA